CAUUCCUUCCUUCUGGGUAUAGGGCAGGAUCCUCUCUGUAAUAGAGGUCUCAUGACCCACAGUCAUACAAGGUUUUUCUUUAGGAGAGAUUAAUCGGGAGUGAGGUCUGCCUAAACCUGAGAUGAGAAGAAUUUGUCUCCUGAGAAUAAUGAUGGAUAUCCCUCAAGAAUUGAAGAUGGGCCAGGGUACACAGAAUGAUUACAUUUGUUCCUUGCUGUUAGGAGGAACAAGCAGAAGUUCCAUAUGCCACCUUCUUCUGCUACUGCAGCAACAAGUGAUAUUCGAGACAGUGAAGCCCCCAUCAAUUCUAGACUGAUAUGGAGCAGAGACGACCUCCUAUACACACUCCCACUACUGACCCAUGGUGGACAAGAAACCAGAAAUUUCAUUAUGUUAAGCUUCUGAGAUAUUUCUGUUUUUUCCACUGAACAUUAUUCUAAUUUAUGUGAUAUAUUUGAUUUUAGAGCUAACUUGUUCUAAAGCUUACAGUCUUUUGCUGGGCAGGGUAGCAGUUCCAGCCACUUAGUAGGCUGAAACAGGAGGAUGGCUUAAGCUCAGGAGUUUGAGACCAGCCUGGGCUAAAUAAUGAGACCCCAUCUCUUAAAAAUAUAUACAAAAUAUAUAAACAAAAAUAAAGCUUACAAUUUUUUUCAACAACAACCUUGUGUAUAGUUCAAACGGAUUUUGUACCCCAUACCUUAGUAACCUACUCAAUGUCAUAUAAGCCUUUCUACCUUUCAGAGUAUCUUCUUGUCAUUCCUUCUUAAAAUGCUCCUCCCAAAUCCUAUUCUGUCUUUUUUUACUACUUUUGAUCUGAACUGUCCAAUAUGUGACUUUGUCCAUAUGUGUCCACAUGCAACUAUUGAGCCCUUGAAAUAUGGCUAGUUCAAAACUGAGAUACACUGUAAGUAUAAUACUGCAUACUGGAUUUUGAACAAUUAGGACAAAAAGAAUAUUAAAUAUAUUCUUAAAAUUAAUUACAUGUUAAAAUGGUAUGUUGGAUAUAUUUGGUUAAAUGAAACUUUAUUAAAAUGAAUUAGCCCUGUUUCUUAUUUUUUUUUUUGUUUUUUGUUUUUAAUUGUGUCUGCUCAAAAAACUAAAAUUACACAAGUGGUUCACAUUUGUAUCUUGAGUAAUAUUUCCAUGGAGAGCACAAAAAUAGAUCCUGAUGAAAGAAUAUAUCCAUCUUAAAACUUUUCUUGAAGAUCUAAAUCAGCUACAGUGACUUUCUUUCUUUUGUAGGGAAGGGAAAAAUAUCUUUUCCUAACCCAUCUGCCUAUCCGAGGUUCUUAGCUGAGACACCUAUAACCAAAGGUAGAUAAACAUACAAAUUUCUUUAAAUAAGUUUUAUGAACACAGAACCCCUCACAAGAAAAUGGAGACCAGAAAAAACAGUUAAACUUGUGUAUGCUUAUGCCUGGAUUGAUGAAGAGUAGACAGUCAUGGAGAAAUAUGAUUGGACAAAAGUUAUGGAAAUAAACUGGGGAAACAGCAAGGCCUGUUUGUUCAGAUUUUUCUGUGUGGCUCUUUGUCUUGAGAUGAGAAUGUGCCUUUCUUCUGGGUAUAAGGAGGGUACCUCUUACAUAAGGUCUUAUAACCAGCUUGAGGGGAGAAGGGCAAGGGGAAGGUGAGAGUGACCUCCUAGCUUCUGCUAUUUUUCCAAAUGCCAAGCUGCCAUAUUUCAGUGUAGCAUGACCUGAACCCCAUCACUCCACAUCACCUUACUCUAUAAAUUCAUUUUGCUAUUUUUUCUAUUUAUAUUAGUCCAUUUUCAUACGCUAUGAAGAAAUACCUGAGACUGGGCAAUUUAUAAAGAAAAAGAGGCUUAAUAGACUCACAGUUCCACAUGGCUAGGGAGGUCUCACAAUCAUGGUGGAAGGUGAAAGAGGAGAAAAGCCACGUUUUACGUGGCAGCGGGCAAAAGAGUGUGUACAGGGGAACUCUCCUUUAUAAAACCAUCAGAUCUCAUUAGACGUAUUCACUAUUCACUAGCACCAGGGGAAAAACCCAUCCCCAUGCUUCAAUUACCUCCCACUGGGUCCCUCCCAUGACAUGUGGAGAUUGUGGGAGCUACAAUUCAAGAUAAGAUUUGGGGGGUAACACAGCCAAACCAGGUUACUAUUGUAUAUCAUUAUAUUAAUGAUGCUUAUCUGAAACAAUUGUCCUGUCUUAAUAGGUACAAAGCUUUUAAAAUUACAGAAUAUUUGUUAUUUCUCUGAGACCUCCCUACAGUACUUUGCAGUCUACUUUGUACAGAUUACACAUUCUAUGAACUGUUUUAACUGAUUUUGGACAGUGAGGUUUCUGAGGAAGACAUUGAUGGCAGGCUGCUUUGAUUUGUGAUUGUUGUAUCUAUUCUGGGCUCUCACCAAAUGCUCACUGGAGUAGACAUUUCAGAGUAUAAAAAAAAGUUAAAAAUUCAAAAACACAAAAGGCACUCAAAUAAACCAGGAUUUGAAAAUCACCAAUUUCAAUUUUUCUAAACUCUUAAUGAGAACCUCACCUGGUCUAUAAUUGAAGAUCAACCAAAGGUCAUGCAGAAAAACAAAAUAGAAUGUAACAAGUAAGCUCUUCUACUAUUUCAUGCUUAGGUACAUUGACAGCGGGCCUCAUAGAAAUGGGGCUAAUCUAAAAAUAAAUAUCCAUAUUUUGGUUUGAAGAAAUAAUUAUCCUAUGCAAGUUCUUAGACCCAUCUCUAGGAAUACUGAAAGACAGAUAUUUUUCUCACACAAGUAAAUAUUCUACCAUGUUUCAAAAAAAAGUGAAAGACAAUAAAAAUGGUAUUGGAAAGAGUGUGCUAAAGAUGACCAUCUGUUCUCCAGGAGGUGAAAGAAAAGGAGCUUAAAAUUACACUAAGGGACAUAGUAUGUUUACAAAGUAUACUAAUACUACAGAGACUGCUGGAGAAGGCAUUAAAGAAGUGUGCAGGGAAGCAGCAAUCAACUGUGCCCUAAAGCAGACAGGAGAAGCCAAGUGUAUGGCAAGGAUUGGGUCAAAGACCCUUCUGGGAAGUCAGCACACCCCUGCCUGAUUCAGGAUUUGCUGGGAGAGGCAGUUCAAAAAUCUAAGACUUUACUGGAUUGUCAUUGUCCACACACAAUCUGCUUAGUGAAACUUUCUAA
rnacentral:lncRNA from 1 species